GCAAACUGUUACAGAGAUGACAUCACAAUAAGGUAAGGUCAUGCAAACUGUUACAGAGAUGACAUCACAAUAAGGUAAGGUCAUGCAAACUGUUACAGAGAUGACAUCACAAUAAGGUAAGGUCAUGUAAACUGUUACAGAGAUGACAUCACAAUAAGGUCUAUGUAAGGUCAAACUGUUCUACUCAUCUAUUUCAUCAUUCAUCCGUUUUCUCAACAGGUUAACAGACAGCACAAGUCAGAGAGCUUGUCCAGGGCCAAGGGGAUCAGACCAAGCCGGCAGGCCUCUUUGAUAGGUGGAGCCCUCUCUCUCUCUGCAGCGUCCUAUUACAGCAGGGAAGGAACUGGAUAUGGCCCUGUUUGUAAAACUUGACACAAUGAACUUGACAGACAGACAGAUUUCUCCUCUCUCCCCGUCCGUUUAGGGUUACUGUGAUCUCAUUAUGGGGCUUGAAAGGGGACAGGUAAUGCUAGCUGGGGUGGCAUGGCGUGGCUCUAGCAGGGCCCCGGCCCCAAGACUUUAUUCUCCAACCCAAGCCUUGAUUACCUGAACCGCCCAGGCUCCAUUUCAACCACUUAUCUCAGCCAGAAAUAAUCAUCUGAUCAGCCACAGCCAGGGCCACAGGGGGCCACAGAGAGAGACAGGGGCAUCAGGUCAUUUUCCAGCAGGUUAAAUACUAGCCAGCCUCAGAACGAUAUUGCGUGGUGAUAGACAACUCAUCUAUACAUGUAUGGACAAUGGCAAUAACAGAGUUGUUUUAAGAAUAUACAGGAUGAAGACAUAGUCUACAUGCAACACCCGACCUGUUUUGGAUCAAAAUAUUACCUUGUAAUGAUGUGGCAGAGCAUUUACACUAACUACUGCAUCCUGUAUGUCAUCCUUACUGGUACCAUAUAAAUAUCAUUCAAAUUCUGUGACUGGCACCCUUACUGAACGAUAACUGUUCUUUCUUCAAUAGAUUUGUUAUUCACUUCCCAGCCGCUGUAAGUGGUGUGUGUUCUGUAAUGUUCAGUUGGCCGGAAUGCGAAAACAUAACAAAAACUCUACACGGAAACCAC
ensembl:lncRNA